GACGAACGCUGGCGGCGUGCUUAACACAUGCAAGUCGAACGGAAAGGCCCUGCUUUUGUGGGGUGCUCGAGUAGCGAACGGGUGAGUAACACGUGAGUAACCUGCCCUUGACUUUGGGAUAACUUUAGGAAACUGGGGCUAAUACCGGAUAGGAGCUCCUGCUGCAUGGUGGGGGUUGGAAAGUUUCGGCGGUUGGGGAUGGACUCGCGGCUUAUCAGCUUGUUGGUGGGGUAGUGGCUUACCAAGGCUUUGACGGGUAGCCGGCCUGAGAGGGUGACCGGCCACAUUGGGACUGAGAUACGGCCCAGACUCCUACGGGAGGCAGCAGUGGGGAAUAUUGCACAAUGGGCGGAAGCCUGAUGCAGCAACGCCGCGUGCGGGAUGACGGCCUUCGGGUUGUAAACCGCUUUCGCCUGUGACGAAGCGUGAGUGACGGUAAUGGGUAAAGAAGCACCGGCUAACUACGUG
rnacentral:rRNA from 1 species